UGGUGAAUAGCUCAGUCACACGUGGCCAAACUACCUUCGGAACACAAUAUCCUCGGGAAACUGACGCUAAUAUGUAUACCAUACCACCACUGGUAUGAGUGGUAUGCCAAACGCUCCGGCGCCGAAGGAUGUGGCUGCUGCCGAUUAGGUAGACGGUGGGGUAACGGCCCACCGUGCCAAUAAUCGGUAUGGGUCAUGAGAGUGAGAACCCAGAGACGGUAUCUGAGACAAGAUUCCGGGCCCUACGGGGCGCAGCAGGCGCGAAACCUUUACACUGCACGACAGUGCGAUAGGGGGAUCCCAAGUGCACAGGCAUUAGCGCCUGUGCUUUUCGGUACCCUAACGCGGUACCAGAAUAAGGGCUGGGCAAGACCGGUGCCAGUCGCCGCGGUUAUACUGUGCAGCCCANGA
rnacentral:rRNA from 1 species